GCCGCUGUCGUCGAGGUGAGACUGUAAACGCGUGGGACGGCCCGACCGCUGCCCAGACGUGACGCCCGCACACCCCUGCACACACUCCCACAGACACGCAAAUCCAUACCUACACACACCCACCCACGCCCGAACACUACUCCUACCAUGGCCACAACCACAAGCAGCACCGGCACUUCUAAUCCUGGCAGCUGCACGUCCAGCAGCACCGGCAGCUGCAGCCUCCCCAUGCCUGACAGUUCGGACUCCAGCCGUCGCUCACUGUCAGACGCGGGCAGGAAGCGGCUGUCUAGCUUCCCGUCCCGGCAGCGGCGGAUGGGCCCAGCGCCCCUAGCCUCCUUCGAGGACCUCAGCAUGGAUAAGACAACGUCUGACUCCAGCCCUGAGGAACGCACACAUCUCCCAGAUAUCGGCGAAGAGACAUCCACAGCGACCACACCAGUAACGCCCGUGGCCAAGACGGCCCUCAGCGUCCCGGCCUCCCCUAGAAUUCGCGUCUCUGCAGCGUCGUCGUCGUCGCCGCACGAGACAGAUUCCAAGGAGUCCACCCCAGAGAAAGAACUGUUUUCGGGUUACGCCAAGUCCGGCUUCUGCGAAGACAUGGCGGCGGAUCUGCAUUCCAGCACGGAGGAGCUGGAUGCCGACGAGGAGGAGCAGCAGCGCAAGCGGAGGGACCGCGCCUGCAAGCUGGCGGAGCUGGAGCGACGGGAGGAGGCUCUUCGCACGGCGGAUCUCAACCGCAAAGGAUCCUCGUCCUCGGUGCUCAGCGAUGGCCUCCUGCCCGUCACCAGCGGCCACUCCAGCAGGCUCUCCUCCUUAGGCUCUAUAGGCUCAGCGAGACGAUCACCCUCGCCUCACAAGAUGCUUUUAGAAACCUCCUUUUGUGGCAGUCGACCCAUCCAGCAGCCCAGCAUCGACCUGGAAGAUCCCCCAGUCACCACCACAAAAAUCAUGAAUUUCACCGUAGAGAAAAUUGAGCGAGUCAAGUCGCCCAUGGAAGCGCGGCCUCCUGACAUCUUCCGCUCGUCGCCAUCGACUGUCCUUCCCCAGAGGCAGGAGGACAUCAUCAUGGCGGUGGAGGCCAUCCCCGCCUCAGAAUUCCAGCCAAGCAAGUCCGAAAUCCUGAUGGCUGUGCCGCCUCCCAGGAGGCAACUGGAGGCACAGACAACACCCAAGAAGCUAGAUGCUGUGAGAGACUCGCAGGAUAACACUGCCAAACCCAGAUCCCCCAGAGAGCAAAAAUCAACGCAACCACCCAAGUCGCCUCAAGCAGUACAAGCCACCAAGCAAGCACAGCAGGAGAAGCAAGCGGACCAGCUGGAACCACAACAACAACGACCACCGCUGUCAUCGCCCCGCUCACCACGAUCGCCAAGAAUGCCCAAGAAGGUUCCUGUGCCCCAGGUUCCUGAUCUGAAGGACCUCCCGAAGGCGUCUCCAACUCCUUCUGCAGCCUCAUCAGCCGCAGUCACUGCCACGACUCCCGAGCACCCGAACGCACGCUCCUACUCCACCACUCCCUCGGCGUCCCCAAGAGCCUCCAGAAGACGGAGGACGAGAGGAGAGGAGAUGGAAAGCGGGUCUUCCUCUCCCUCAGUCUCAAGAAAAAGUUCCUUUUCGAAUCUUUUCCGAAAAUCGGACGCUGUCAUGAGCCCUGUCACGCCUGACUCUCCAGGAUCUAGUGGACGCAAAAGUCCUUUCAGUCAGUUCAUCAAAUCGGCUAAGAAAGAGUUCCGGUCUAGGAGCAGGUCGAGAAGCCGGAGUAAGAGCCGGGAGAGAGAACUGGAGGAUGACACCCAUGACAGGAGGGGAGUGCUGUCCAUUUUCAGGCCCAAGACGAAGAAGAAGGACGCAGAGAAGACCACAAAAGGCAGUGAGAAAAGUGUUCCUUCCUCUGACGCUAAGAUCAAUGAAGCCAUCACAAAUGUUGAAUUUACCUUUAACGAUGACGGUAAAUACCAGCCCUCGUCCUUCGGGCUUAUCAGACAGGAGAGCGAAAUGAGCAGAGCCAUCAAAGAGCCCCUGAGAGGAGUCCCGCCGCCGACGGAGGGAGAACCCGAGGCGCCGAAGCAGGACAUGAUCUCCUCCAGGGACAGCUCCUACAAUGAACUUUCCUCCAUCAUGAGCCCGGACGGAAAACCUGCUGAGAAGGCCGCACUUCCAGAGUCCAAAGACGUUUCAGAGAAGGACAAGAGAGACCAAAUAGACGACGAUGAUGUAUUUGAAAAGCCCGCCGAGGUCAAGCCAACGAUACCCUCUCCGUCAAUAGAGCGGGUUCAAAAAGAGAAGAAGGUUGAGGAACCUGUGCUCGAGAAGCCGCACUUGCCGCCAAAGCAGAAGGACCGGCCAGAGGAGCUGACUGUUGCUGCGCCCGACCAAUACGAUGCCGACUCACGAUCCGAGUCCGAGCGCGAAUCUGAAAUUGAGUACCUGAAGACCAAAGCCAAGCAGCAGCAGACAGCAGAAUCUGGCGUUCCUUUAGACUCCCCCGACGUGGAGAACAAAGGCUUAGUCUCUCAGGACUCCGGCGAGGACGGAGAAUUGCCAUACGUGCCCACAACGCUACCCACAGAACGUCCUCUUGCAGCGCCCAUCAUUCCUGUGAAGGAGCGGCCUCCGCACCUCCGCACAACACAGUCCAUCGACCGCCCUCGCAGCACCACGCCCCUCAUCACAGGUCUUUUGGAGGAGUACAAACAAGUAGCGGGGACGCCGGAAGGAGAACCGGAAAAGAUGAUGAUCAACAUUCCCCAGAGCGGCCCUGUGAAGGUGCUGCCCACCAAGAGCCCGAAGAGACAGACUUCCAAGAGCUGGGACGACUUCUGCCAGGAAGGGCUGCGCAGCCCCCGGCAACUAAGGAAGCAGUACCGGGAGGCGAGGAUGAAAGUUUCCGAGGACGACGUCCCCCCUCCGCUCCCGCCAAAGGUGCGGUCUCCCGCGCGCUCUCCUGUGUCGCAACCGCCUCCGACGCCGCCCGACGAAUCCCCUACGCAGGACACCGGCUCCUCGAGAGGGACGCCGGACGGAGCUAAGAGCUGGAUUAACUUCGACGAGAUGCCAGAGAUCGUCCUGAAGCCCGUGCGGCAAAUCAAAACGGUUCCGCCGAGACAUUCGUCGCAGCAGAAGCAGGAGCAGCGCGAGGCGAAACCGCAGCCCGAGAAAGCUGAGCCGCAACGCGUGGUGGAGAAAAUGCAGGACUGGCGGGAACCACUCACGCCAGAGGAGAGAAAACCACUGCAGGAGGAGCCCCGCCGGCUUCCGCCUCCCCUGCCGGCUCCCCUGAACCACGACCUCUUGGACUCGGACAGCGCCCGCACGCCCUCCGAGGCCUCCACGCCCGACAAGAGCUCCGAUCGCUCCUCGGACAGCGACAAGCCCACGAGCCCGUCGAGCGAGGAGGGCAACACGGUGCGGGAGCGCCUCGAGGAGAUCAAGAAGGGCGGCGACGAAGGCGAGAACUCCGACCUAGAGAGGCUGCUGGCGCCCGUCAACGAGUGCAUCAACAGGCUGUCGUCGCUGUCGUCUGAGCCGUGCAUGCUGGAGCGCAGGUCGCCCAUCCCGGACAACUGGGCCGACUUCCUGCUGCCCCCCCAGCCAGGGCGCAGGUCGCGGCUCUCCUCCCUGGGGUCCGACGCAGGCUCCGUCGGCGGCCGCUCGCCCUCGCCCUCCUGCAUGCUCCUCGAGACGUCCUUCUGCGGCUCGGCGCCCAUCGACGACCCCGCGGCAGCGGAGCCCGACGUGCCCAUCCCCAUCGCCCGGAAGCUGAGCGGCGUCUCCCUGGGGGAUCUGUGCCCCUUCACCCCGAGGGAGAGGUCGCCUGGACUCAUCCCGUGCGCUGAUCGGACCUCCAUCCUCAGCGAUUCCUCAGCCGAAGGCGGGGGUUCGCCCAAGGAAUCGGACUACUACACCCGGCACCACAGCGAGCCGCAACGGAGCCAACCGGGGGCGGGGCGGCAACUCAACCCGUUUGGCAUGGACUUAGGCGUGAGAAGCAAUCGUUCGUCAGUUGUGUCUCAGGACCAGGUUCCUCGCUAGGUGGUAAACGAGUCAGUAAUACGUAUCACCUUACUGAAGCUGGGUUGAGGGGCCCGCUCAAACAGAGUCCGCCAGAGAGUCCAAACCAGGCCCUCUACCCCCCAUCCUAGGCCACUUUGUCUUCACGUAGAUAAAACAAAAAAAUGAUAAUAAAUACUAAUUAACAAUAAUAAUUAAAAAAAAACAAGUUAUUAAAAAAAAAAAAACUAGACUUUUCGUUGGUCGUUUAGCUCCGGUCGUGUUCAAUUCUUUUUCUAUUCAUAUUCCUUGUAUCUAUGCAUUUAUAAGAGCGUAUUUUGCAUUUUCAUAAUCUAGUACUGGUAGUGUGUUGACGUUGUUGGAACCGGCGUCAUUUUUUUCCUCCUUGUAAAUUAUUGUACAUUAGAUCUCAUCUUCCAAAUGUGAUAGCGAAUGUUGUUGACUUAAAAAAGAGAGAGAAGGUAAUAGUAAUAAUUAAAUUAUCUUUUAAUCAUUA